CCUACGGGCGGCAGCAGUGAGGAAUAUUGGUCAAUGGACGAGAGUCUGAACCAGCCAAGUAGCGUGAAGGAUGACUGCCCUAUGGGUUGUUAACUUCUUUUAUAUGGGAAUAAAAUGUUCCACGUGUGGGAUUUUGUAUGUACCAUAUGAAUAAGGAUCGGCGAACUCCGUGCCAGCAGCCGCGGUAAUACGGAGGAUCCGAGCGUUAUCCGGAUUUAUUGGGUUUAAAGGGAGCGUAGAUGGAUUGUUAAGUCAGUUGUGAAAGUUUGCGGCUCAACCGUAAAAUUGCAGUUGAAACUGGCAGUCUUGAGUACAGUAGAGGUGGGCGGAAUUCGUGGUGUAGCGGUGAAAUGCUUAGAUAUCAUGAAGAACUCCGAUUGCGAAGGCAGUUCACUGGACUGCAACUGACACUGAGGCUCGAAAGUGUGGGUAGCAAACAGGAUUAGAUACCCCGGUAGUC
rnacentral:rRNA from 1 species